rnacentral:rRNA from 1 species
CCUACGGUGUGCAGCAGUGGGGAAUAUUGGACAAUGGGCGAAAGCCUGAUCCAGCCAUGCCGCGUGUGUGAAGAAGGCCUUCGGGUUGUAAAGCACUUUCAGUGGGGAAGAAAGCCUUGGGGCUAAUACCCUCGAGGAAGGACAUCACCCACAGAAGAAGCACCGGCUAACUCCGUGCCAGCAGCCGCGGUAAUACGGAGGGUGCGAGCGUUAAUCGGAAUUACUGGGCGUAAAGCGCGCGUAGGCGGUCUGAUAAGCCGGUUGUGAAAGCCCCGGGCUCAACCUGGGAACGGCAUCCGGAACUGUCAGGCUAGAGUGCAGGAGAGGAAGGUAGAAUUCCCGGUGUAGCGGUGAAAUGCGUAGAGAUCGGGAGGAAUACCAGUGGCGAAGGCGGCCUUCUGGACUGACACUGACGCUGAGGUGCGAAAGCGUGGGUAGCAAACAGGAUUAGCUACCCGAGUAGUC